AUCUGGAUAGCUCAGUUGGUUACAACAUGGUGCUACUAAUGCCAAGGCUGCAGGUUUGGUCCCUGAAUGGGACA